UUAAAUUAAUUAAUGAAAUCAAGUGAUCUAUUUGAAGAUUGAAAUUUUGAAAAAUUAAUCAAUGUGUUUUUAAACAAAUGUGAAAAAACUAAAGUUGUAACAAAAAUGAAGAAAAAUUGAUGGUCACAGGCAAUCCAGUUAGAUGCAAUAAAUCAAACACAUAUGGAGUGAAUUAAAGUUUUGUCGUGGUACGAUAAAACGACAUCAUUAUUAUGCAUUUUUGGGUGCAAUCAAUGAAUUCUUGAAAAUGAGAAGAAAAAUGUGAAAAGUGUAGAUAAAAAAAAGGAUAUUAAAGGAAUAGUUGAGUAAUUUCAGGCGUCAGAAUUUUUUUAAAUUAAUUAAUUAAAUCAAGUGAUCUAUUUGAAGAUUGAAAUUUUGAAAAAUUAAUCAAUGUGUUUUUAAACAAAUGUGGAAAAACUAAAGUUGUAACAAAAAUGAAGAAAAAUUGAUGGUCACAGGCAAUCCAGUUAGAUGCAAUAAAUCAAACACAUAUGGAGUGAAUUAAAGUUUUGUCGUGGUACGAUAAAACGACAUCAUUAUUAUGCAUUUUUGGGUGCAAUCAAUGAAUUCUUGAAAAUGAGAAGAAAAAUGUGAAAAGUGUAGAUAAAAAAAAAGGAUAUUAAAGGAAUAGUUGAAUUGAAAUUUUGAAAAAUUAAUCAAUGUGUUUUUAAACAAAUGUGGAAAAACUAAAGUUGUAACAAAAAUGAAG